rnacentral:rRNA from 1 species
GUGCCAAGUGGGCCAAUUUUGGUAAGCAGAACUGGCGCUGUGGGAUGAACCAAACGCAGAGUUAAAGCGCCUAAAUCGACGCUCAUGGGAAACCAUGAAAGGCGUUGGUUGCUUAAGACAGCAGGACGGUGGCCAUGGAAGUCGGAAUCCGCUAAGGAGUGUGUAACAACUCACCUGCCGAAGCAACUAGCCCUGAAAAUGGAUGGCGCUGAAGCGUCGUGCUUAUACUCUGCCGUCAGGGCAAUAGAGGCGGCUGGCUGCGUGCCGCGCCCUGAAGCCCUGACGAGUAGGAGGGUCGCGUCGGUGUGCGCAGAAGGGUCUGGGCGUGAGCCUGCCUGGAGCCGCCGACGGUGCAGAUCUUGGUGGUAGUAGCAAAUACUCCAGAGAGGCCCUGGAGGGCUGAUGUGGAAGAAGGGUUUCGUGUGAACAGCCGUUGCACACGAGUCAGUCGAUCCUAAGCCCUAGGAGAAAUCCGAAGUUGAUGACGCGUGUCCGAUCAUAACAGUUGUGAAGACCCUCAUCGGGCGAAAGGGAAUUCGGUUCCUAUUCCGAAACCCAGUACCGGAACCGUUCCAGUCGGGUCCUCAAAAACUCGUCGAGGUGACUCGACAUGCCCCGGAGACGCCGUCGGGAGCUGCCGGAAGAGUUAUCUUUUCUGUUUGAGUGCGCAUACUCCCUGGAAUUCCCUAGAGGAGAGAUAGGGAGCAGCGCAACGAAGAGCACCGCACUUGCGGCGGUGUCGGCAGCGUCCUCUCGGACCUUGAAAAUCCGGGUGAGGGCCACGUGGACGACCGGUCUGGUUCGUACCCAUAUCCGCAGCAGUCUCCAAGGUGAAGAGCCUCUAG